UGAGUAAUAAUUAACAAAAUUAAUAAUUGAUGUGAAUAAAAAUAUUGUAAAAAUAAAUUUAAGCCAGUUUUACUUUAACGUCCAUAAUUUUUCAAUACUAUUGUUAACUAAAUGAUACAUAUUAGAUCAUUUGUUUGAUUAAUUAAAUGAUAUAUUUCAAUUAUAUAUGUUAUAUAUAUAUAUAUAUAUAUAUAUAUAUAUAUAUAUAUAUUCUUUGUGGAGUUUCAUGUAUAAAAAUUCAUUUAUCGUGCAAACGGUUACCUUGUAGCCCCUGUGCGAAAAACAUUUCUUGAAUUAUUAAGUUAUAUUGUUUUUUUACAAUUUUUUAUAUUUUCAUAGCGUAAAUACUUGCUGCAUUGUGCACAUAUUGUUCGUUUCAUUUUCUGCGCAUUUCAUACACCGUAUACAAUAUUUGUUUUCAACAGCCUUAAUAAAACGAGGCAUAUAGAUUAUUAAUAUGUGCUUGCGAAAAUAUAAACUCUAUGUAGAACAUUUUGAAUAAAACAUUCGUAAAUGUUUUGUUGUAAUAUAGUUAGAUUUUAGUGGAAAUACAUAUUUUAGAUCUUAUACCUACAACUAGAUUUGAGAAUUAAUACCAUAAUUUUUCUGGGGUAUGUAGAAGUACUUCAUGAAAAAACAAAAUGCGAUUAAUAUAUUUUGCAUAACGAGCAUUUGGCUAAUUUUUUAUGCAUCUCACGUACUUGUGCACCAGGUAACGCAAAUGCAAAUUUUGUGAAUGUCAUUUUCGUGUCGCCACGUCAUGAUAAUCAUGAUACAAAUAUUUUUGUAUACUUAAAACUUAUAAUGACCCGAGUACAACGAGAUUAUCAGAUGAACAAUAAAUAUUAUUGCCAAUAGUAUCAUGUAUAAUAUUGCAACUCAAAUGUGUUUUGUAUUAAAAAUUAUGAUAAGCAGAUAAAUAUAGUGAGAAAAAAAUAUUUUCACUUUGAGGAUAUUUUACAAAAAAACAUUUUUUUGCUGUAAUACUUUCAUCUAGUUUGUAGAAGAUUUUUGAGAUACAUAUGGAUACAUGACAUGUACAUACAAAUUUUUGUCUUAAUUAUUUAUUUCUAUUUAAUUAUAUGAAAAAUUCGUGGAUCUAAGAAAACAAAAUGUUAAAAGCUGUUUUUCUUUGAAUAACGUUAGUGUUCGCGAAACUUGCCAUAAUGUUAAAUAUUUAACUUAAAUACCAAUGUAACAUAUGUAUAAAUAGUGUUUUAUUAAUCGAUAGUCUGUCGAGAUUCAAGUGUAAAAAUUCAUUGAUCGAUCGUACAAACGAAAUGGUUAUCUUGCAAUCCCUGUGUGGAAAACUAUUCUCUUAUUUCUCUUGUUUAUAGCCAUUGGGAAUGAUAUAUAAAAAUUACGAUGAAAACAUUGAGAAAAUAUAUAGAUAAAUAUAUCUUAUCAUACUUAUCUUAGGAUAGCACUUAAAGUGGUCUAUAAAACAGAACCAAAUGUAAAAUGAACGUUUAAUUCUACAGUAUUAAUACUAUCAAUAUGUUUCGUCUGAUUGCUUCGCUCAUAGUCGCAGCAGUGCUCUUUCAAGCGGUUUUUGCAUGUGUGUCCAGUGUGUCCAAGCCCGAAAUUUCAGAGUUCAACUAUAUUAAUGAAGAUUAGGGACCUUGAAAUUGGUGAACUGACGGCAAACGACACAUUGAUUUCUUCCUCGCGAUUUUGGACCGGAAAUCAUGAAAACGUUGUUAGAACGUAUGAUAUAUUUCAGUUUGAUCUUCGAGUUUUUUUUUGUUUUAACUGAAAUAAAUAUACUUUUUGUAAUAAGUAAAAAUAUAUAUAAUAUUACAACUUUAUUUUUAUUUUGAUAGUAAUUUUCAUAAAAUUGACGUAGUACUUUUAAAAUAAAUAUUCAGUAUAAUAGAAUUAUGAUAGAAUAUUCAAAAUAAUAGAAUUAUAAUGGAAUUAUUAGUGCAUUUUGCACUUUUGUGUACAACAGUUCUUAAUUCUAACCGAAUAUAGUAUAAAAUACUCAUCGUAUCUCUGCAAGAAAAAUGAUACAAAUAGAAAUUUUUAAAGUUUUGCACAAGUAUAAUGUUCUAAAUUGGUUUUGAAACAGAAAAAGUGUGUGAUACAAGUUGAAUUAAAAAAAAAAAAAAAGAUAGGGAAAAUGAAAACCGAAAAAGUGGCACAAAUUAAAAGAGAUAGUUUUUACUAGCAUAAUAAUAUAACAAAAUUAUUAUUUAAAUUACUUUAAGAGAAUGUGUUGAUAUAGAAGAAGAAGAAGAGAAAUAGAGAGAGAGAGAGAGAGAGAGAGAAGAAUUAAAAGAGGACACCAACAUAAACUGUUGAAAAUAGGCGGAGAAAGACAAUUUGACUACGCGAUUGAUUUCGGGGAUUUGAUCGGCCCGGAGAGGAUGAUCUUGAGUCUCGAAGCAAUGUAAUGUGGGGAAGCAGACAGAAAGUUCUCGGCCUUAUUAAUAUCGUUCAAAUAGAUAUUAAUGUUAAGAUUUUAAUUCUGACAAUUUGGCUAUUAUUUUGGGAAGCCUUGAAGAAAAGAAGCGAAACUUCAGAGGUCAGACUGAAGUUUAACGAGCAGCCACCCACUUCCAGGGCUAUUCCAACAUAGUUGAGUUGGUUGACGAAGAAUCUCUGUCGCAGGAAAUGGAGUGCUGGAGCACAGAGUGCUGUUGCACUAGAAAAUGGAGCACGGCUCGAAGGAAACAUCCCACACGGGCGAACAUGGCUGGUCUACUGCUGAUUUUUUUUUCUGUGAUAUUUUCCAUUUUUAAGAAAAUUCUUAAGACAUACAG